rnacentral:rRNA from 1 species
AACGCUGGCGGCACGCCUAACACAUGCAAGUCGAGCGCUACUUCGGUAGAGCGGCGAACGGCUGAGUAACACGUUGGAACCUACCCCAGACUCAGGGAUAACCCCGCGAAAGCGGGGCUAAUACCGGAUGGUCUCGUAAGAGUAAAGCUUUUGCGGUCUGGGAGGGGCCUGCGGCCUAUCAGUUUGUUGGUGAGGUAAUAGCUCACCAAGACUAUGACGGGUAACUGGUCUGAGAGGACGACCAGUCAGAAUGGGACUGAGACACGGCCCAUACUCC